UAGGGAAUCUUCCACAAUGAACGCAAGUCUGAUGGAGCAACGCCGCGUGAGUGAAGAAGGUUUUCGGACCGUAAAGCUCUGUUGUUGGUGAAGAAGGAUAGAGGUAGUAACUGGCCUUUAUUUGACGGUAAUCAACCAGAAAGUCACGGCUAACUACGUGCCAGCAGCCGCGGUAAUACGUAGGUGGCAAGCGUUGUCCGGAUUUAUUGGGCGUAAAGCGAGCGCAGGCGGAAGAAUAAGUCUGAUGUGAAAGCCCUCGGCUUAACCGAGGAAUUGCAUCGGAAACUGUUUUUCUUGAGUGCGGAAGAGGAGAGUAGAACUCCAUGUGUAGCGGUGGAAUGCGUAGAUAUAUGGAAGAAUACCAGUGGCGAAGGCGGCUCUCUGGUCUGCAACUGACGCUGAGGCUCGAAAGCAUGGGUAGCGAACAGGAUUAGAUACCCUGGUAGUCCAUGCCGUAAACGAUGAGUGCUAAGUGUUGGGAGGCUUCCGCCUCUCAGUGCUGCAGCUAACGCAUUAAGCACUCCGCCUGGGGGAGUACGACCGCAAGGUUGAA
rnacentral:rRNA from 1 species